rnacentral:rRNA from 1 species
AUUGAACGCUGGCGGCAUGCUUUACACAUGCAAGUCGAACGGCGGCGCGGGCUUCGGCCUGGCGGCGAGUGGCGAACGGGUGAGUAAUACAUCGGAACGUGCCCAGUAGUGGGGGAUAGCUCGGCGAAAGCCGGAUUAAUACCGCAUACGACCUGAGGGUGAAAGCGGGGGAUCUUCGGACCUCGCGCUAUUGGAGCGGCCGAUGGCAGAUUAGCUAGUUGGUGGGGUAAAGGCCUACCAAGGCGACGAUCUGUAGCUGGUCUGAGAGGACGACCAGCCACACUGGGACUGAGACACGGCCCAGACUCCUACGGGAGGCAGCAGUGGGGAAUUUUGGACAAUGGGCGAAAGCCUGAUCCAGCAAUGCCGCGUGUGUGAUGAAGGCCUUCGGGUUGUAAAGCACUUUUGGCGGGAACGAAAAGGACUGUGCCAAUACCACGGUUCGAUGACGGUAUCCGCAGAAUAAGCACCGGCUAACUACGUG